rnacentral:lncRNA from 1 species
UACUAGGAGCUCCGUCUGUAGUGCCAGGGGCUCCCUCUGCAUGGGAUGUGACCCCCUCCUCUAUGAGGCUGGGUUAGACAAGGUCCUGUAGUUCCUCAUGGGGCUGGACUCAUCUCAGUGGCAUGUGGCUCCUGGAAGAAGGGGCUUCCCAAGGGCUUUGGGCUUUCCUGGGCUCUCCCAAAAGGAGUCCUGGCCCAAUCUGCCCAUGAUGAUGGCCCUGAGCACUGGCCUCUUCCAUGGGACACCCCCUCUCAGGGGCACUGUUGGUUUGUGUGCCCUGCAGGGACCUGCCUUUGCCUCCUGCUCGAAGGAAGGGACCUGGGUCCUUCUGAGGGAGCCAGACCUCUGGCCCAGAAAGCCAGACAUUGUGUGGAAGGAGCGUUCCUGGCCCAGGGUCUUCCUGUGUAUCCUUGCCCCAUCGAUCAAGUGCUGUGGGAGCUGUUUUAAGGUGAAAACCUAGAUGCACAGCACUUCCUUGUCCUCAUGAAAGGAGCAGAGGUCUUCACAGGCCUCUGGGCUGCCCCGAGAACCUCUCUAUUCCAGGCCCCUCUGCAGACCCCUCCAGACGCCAGAACUCCAGGCAGUGGCCUGAGCUGUCACUCCUUGCUCUGAGACCCCUACCUCUGCCAUGAGACCUCUUCAUAUUCCCCCAGAUGCCCCGAUCCCUCUGGAUUCCCCACCUCCCCUGGAACCUCCCAGAACAUGAAAUGUUUCUCAAAAUGUGGCUCAUAUCCAGGUUCAUUUUCACUGAGGACAUCUUGCCCUGCUCCUUCAUUGUCUAUAGGGCAGGGCCAAGAGCAGGAACCAGCCUCAGAACAGACAGGAGACUCACUGCUGCACACAGCACCAUGACAAAGUCAGUGCCUUUGUAGGAAAGGAGGGUUUUUCUCUGCAGAUAGUUGCUUCUCUUGCUUGUUUCUUAAGUCACAGAAUGUCACCAGAGCCCAGCUCACUUGUGGUGUCCAUGUCACUGUCUGUGCCCAGGAUGUGCUACUGACCCCCUAACUGCCAGGCUCGAUGUUCCCUCCAGCUGGUUAACUGGGCUCCUGACAUGGUGUGACAUGUCUGUGCGCUGGCUGGGUGUGGAAGGGCCUGACCUGGUGUAUUGCUGGAUUCUUGGCCUUCACCUUCUUGGCAUCCAGCAGGAGUGACCACGCUGGACCCCAUACCUGUGGGGGGAUUCCCUUGUAUACCUGCUGAGACAUCUGUGGACAGAAGAAUGCUCUGGUGAGGCAGGUGUCAGGAUGACCCCAAGGAUGAUAAGAAUCUAAGGAUUCUGGAACCUUCCAGCCUUUGGCCUUGUGGUUCCUCAGGAGAGGUUGAGUCUACCUAGGACCAGGCCUCCCUUCCCAUGAAUCAAGAGUGAACAAGAGCUCUCACAUCAGAUUGUCUCCCAGCAAGGUAACCCUUGCAGGGAUAGGCAGGAAAGUUGGGGACCAGGCCUGUUGUCUUUUGGGUGAGGACAGUGUGCCACCUGCUGUCUGAGAGGCAGGCAGUACCAAGAAACAGCAAGGGGUGCCUGUCCCCCAACUCUGGAGAGUGGUCACAGGGGACCCUCACUCUCCAUUGUGCCUUCUUGCUGCUCUUAGAUUUAUUUCAGUGGUUAAGCCUUUGUAGCCAUUUAUCUUUGCAUCCAAUAGCCUGAUGUUUUUGCCAUAAAUGAGAAAUGAUGGAGUUAGCUGAGCUGCCAGGCUUCCGGGAGUGGUUCUUGGAUGCUGGAUCACGUCAUCACUGAGGACUUCUUGCCCUGCUCCUUCAUUUCCAAUAUGGCAGGGCCAUGAGGAGGAACCAGCCUCAUCACAGACAUGAAACUCACUGCCGCACACAGCAACAUAACACAGUCAGUGCUUCUGAAGGAGGCUUUUUCUCUGGAGAAGUUUGCUUCUCUUGUUUGCCUGGUCAGUCAUUAGGGGCCUUGAUGGGGCUGAACUGGAAGGAGCCAGAAAAGGGCAGAUCUUGUGACUGAGACCCUCUGACUGAGUAGGUACCGGUGACCCAACCUCUGGAACACAGGACACACUAUUCUCAGGCCACAGAUGCCCUAAUCAGAUCUCAGCCUCCAGGUGGGGUCCUGGUGCCCAGUGGGCAGUGACCCCCAAGCCGCUACCCUGAAUCUUUGUGGCGGGUUUGGUAAAACAACUGCAGGGACAAGGCUUGGGUUGAGAUUCAGCAGGAAUUAUGGCCUCUCCCAUUGAGGGCAUGUGGCUCCCUCUCACCACCACCCAGGCCCACAGGCCACACCAUCUGUUUCACUGACCAGCCACCAAGUUGCCCAUUGAUGGGUGAGCCUCCCAUGUAGCAGGUACAGGCUGUUACCUUUGUCUUCAGGGCACUGACAGGGGCAGCUCUGUCACUGUAAGGCAGUGAAGAGAGCUGAAGAUCUGCACCAGGCCAGGGGCCAUCCCCCUCCCUGAGCAGGCCCCAGGAAAGGACUAGCCCCAUCCACAUCCACCCCAGGUCUCAGCCUCCCUGCUGGCUGAUACCCAGGAGAGGCUGGGAAAUGGGAACAGAGGAAGCACAGGGCUGGGCAGGUGCUGCUUGGGAUUCAUGGGGGUUUGGGUUACCCAAUGGGGUUGCCCCUCCUGAAUUGGAGUUAGCGUCCUCUUUGGGAACAAAGAAACUCUAGUCUUGAGGUGGGCCAGUGCUGCCCAGGUUUGUGUGUCUGGACCUUGAGAGAAGACCCCAGGAAGUGACCACAUCCUCAGGUUGUGGUGCAGGGAACCUGGCCUGAGAACUGCCCAGUGUGUUAAGGCCCCUGGAGCCUGUCUGCCCGAUGGCCCCACAGCCAUCGCAGGGUCUGACUAUCUAACCUGCCUCUCCCUGUACACUGGCUACCCACCCUUCCUGUUACUUUACUUCUCUAGCCUGUCUGCCUGGAAACCAUGCCAUGUCUUGGUUCCUGUCUCUUUAGGCACCCCUGUUCUUCCUUUAUCCUUGUUUUGUCAGAACGUCUGAGCAAGAACCCCCGAGAUCCAUCCACACACCUUCCUUGUCCACUUUUUAACUGGGCUGCUCAGCACUGCUGGUGGACACCAGGGGCAAUGAGGGUGACUGAGGGUUUCACAGGCAACCGGAAUGGCCCUGAACCCAGUCCCCAGCCUCAGAUGGUAUUUAGGGUCUUCAGCCAACAGCUUCCUCCCUCCUGUUGCAGCAGCCCUGACACGGGGCACCUGGCUGUCCUCCUCCCACUGUUCUUUUCUGACUCAGUCUCCCCAGUCUUCCCUCUGGCCAUGGUGCUGACCAAGCCAGCAGGGAGCUGGGUCUCUAGAGGGUGUUCCAGAGCUUUGGGACUGACUAAAGCUUCUCUGCUGAGGGGUCCCAGGUAAGUCCCUGCUCUUGGCUUCACCAAAUCUCCUGCCCUUCCCAGCUCCAUCCACUCUCCACAGGCUGGCUCCAUCCAGAUGCAUCCCAAAGUCAUCAGUUCCAUUGUGUCACCACUACCUCAGCUCCUCCAAUGACCCCUACAGGGACAGACUUUAUACUGGGCCCCUCCCACCAGACCUCAGAUCCCCUCUUACCAUGAAACCCUUGGUUAGAUCACCUUGGCUGCAAGCUCUGCUGCCUCCUUGCCUUUCCCAUGAGAUGCCCAAGCCAGGGCCCUGACCAUCUUCUCCUCCCAGGGCCACAGCUUUGGCUGCCCCUGUACCCCUCCCUGUGGGAUGGCAGGGCUGGGCUCCUUUAGCUCUCAGAGACCUGCUGGACAACUACCCACAGACCAUUCCAAGCACCCCUUUGUCCCAUGGCUAGACCCUGCAGAUCUCCAGGGCAGGCUCCAAGGGAGCAGGCUGGCCCCUCAGGCUGGCCCCCUCCUCUCUUGUUGACUUGGAGACUGGACUGCGCUGCUGUCCCCCUUGGAGAGCCUAGGGGCUUAGACCAGCCAUAUUUCUGUCUCCACUUGCUCUCUGGGUUCCCACAUUGGGAUACUCAGCUCUGGCCUAACACUGACCUUGGACUGGAUUUGCAGGGCACCUGGGGAGGAGUUCCAAUCCUGGGAAGGAGGUGGACUUGAGACAUGUCCUUCCUCAGAGAGGCCUUUUUCAAAAUAAAACCUAUUGCUGAGACGAGAUUGCUGGGGGUGGGGGCUCAGGAGACAGAAGACACACUACAGAAUCUGGAGAUAAUUGGUGAUUUUCUAGAUUAAAAAAUCUUCCUGCCUUAUGUCCACUGGCACCCUGGCCUGGCAUCCCUGCAAUGCAGAGGGGUCAAUGUGAGGGGGGCCAAGCUGUGGAAUGCAGAGGCAUGGGGUUGUGUGCAGCCACUCCCUGCCCUGUGUCCCAAGUGGGCCUAGGACCCUCUGACUACAGCACAGAAGGAGUGGUGAUCCCCCUGCCCCUUCGAACGAGCAGCCUGCCCUGUGUCCCCUCAUACUUGGCAAUAAUGUCCCCUUGAUUCUGGGUAAGAGGGUGUCCACAUCCUGCUCCAUGUCCAUCCUGCAAGAAAAAGAUAUUACACUGCAUUUGAAAACUUCAGAGAACACCCUAAACCAGGGUCCUGCCUGGGUCUCAAAAGCCAGCAAGGUGACCACAUUCUGUCACCAGGAACAAAAGCCCAGACCCAGUCCUCACCCCCGACCAGGGUCUCUGGAGUCUCUGCCCCUGUCCAAGGGUGAGUUCCUGCCUGAGGAUAUGAGAACAGGGGGGCUUGGACAGCAAGGUCUGUCUUCAAAUGCGCCAAGAUGGGCACAUGCUUGCUUCAGGAGGAUGAACAAUGUCCACCUGCCAAGGGGAAAGGGCCUAUGAUGGGCUGUUCUGGGCACCUGGAAGCACAGUGGGGUCAAGGGCCAGAGACCUCUAUAUGAUCAUGUAGGGAAAAGAAAGAGAGAUCAGACUGUUACUGUGUCUAUGUAGAAAGGAAAGACAUAAGAGACUCCAUUUUGAAAAAGACCUGUACUUUAAAUAAUUGCUUUGCUGAGAUGUUAAUUUGUAGCUUUGCCCCAGCCACUUUGCCCCAGCCACUUUGACCCAAACUGGAGCUCACAAAAACAUGUGUUGUAUGAAAUCAAGGUUUAAGGGAUCUAGGGCUGUGCAGGACUUGCCUUGUUAACAAAAUGCUUACAAGCAGUAUACUUGGUAAAAGUCAUCACCAUUCUCUAGUCUCAAUAAACCAGGGGCACUGUGGAAAGCCACAGGGACCUCUGCCCUUGAAAGUGGGGUAUUGUCCAAGGUUUCUCCCCAUGUGAUAGUCUGAAAUAUGGCCUCGUGGGAUGAGAAAGACCUGACCGUCCCCCAGCCCGACACCUGUAAAGGGUCUGUGCUAAGGUGGAUUAGUAAAAGAGGAAAGCCUCUUGCAGUUGAGAUAGAGGAAGGCCACUGUCUCCUGCCUGCCCCUGGGAACUGAAUGUCUCAGUAUAAAACCCGACUGUACAUUUGUUCACUUCUGAGAUAGGAGAAAAACCGCCCUAUGGUGGGAGGCGAGACAUGUUUGCAGCAAUGCUGCCUUGUUAUUCUUUACUCCACUGAGAUAUUUGGGUGGAGAGAAACAUAAAUCUGGCCUACGUGCACAUCCAGGCAUAGUACCUUCCCUUGAACUUAAUUAUGACAUAGAUUCUUUUGCUCACAUGUUUUUUGCUGACUUUCUCCUUAUUAUUACCCUGCUCUCCUACUACAUUACUUUUUGCUGAAAUAAUGAAAAUAAUAAUCAAUAAAAACUGAGGGAACUCAGAGACCGGUGCUGGUGCAGGUCCUUGGUAUGCUGAUCGCCGGUCCCCUGGGCCCACUAUUGUUUCUCUAUA